rnacentral:rRNA from 1 species
CACUGCCGAGAAAAGCCUCUAGAUAGAAAAUAGGUGCCCGUACCGCAAACCGACACAGGUAGUCAAGAUGAGAAUUCUAAGGUGAGCGAGCGAACUCUCGUUAAGGAACUCGGCAAAAUGACCCCGUAACUUCGGGAGAAGGGGUGCUCUUUAGGGUUAACGCCCAGAAGAGCCGCAGUGAAUAGGCCCAAGCGACUGUUUAUCAAAAACACAGGUCUCUGCUAAACCGUAAGGUGAUGUAUAGGGGCUGACGCCUGCCCGGUGCUGGAAGGUUAAGAGGAGUGGUUAGCUUCUGCGAAGCUACGAAUCGAAGCCCCAGUAAACGGCGGCCGUAACUAUAACGGUCCUAAGGUAGCGAAAUUCCUUGUCGGGUAAGUUCCGACCCGCACGAAAGGCGUAACGAUUUGGGCACUGUCUCAACGAGAGACUCGGUGAAAUCAUAGUACCUGUGAAGAUGCAGGUUACCCGCGACAGGACGGAAAGACCCCGUGGAGCUUUACUGUAGCCUGAUAUUGAAAUUCGGCACAGCUUGUACAGGAUAGGUAGGAGCCUUUGAAACGUGAGCGCUAGCUUACGUGGAGGCGCUGGUGGGAUACUACCCUAGCUGUGUUGGCUUUCUAACCCGCACCACUUAUCGUGGUGGGAGACAGUGUCAGGCGGGCAGUUUGACUGGGGCGGUCGCCUCCUAAAAGGUAACGGAGGCGCUCAAAGGUUCCCUCAGAAUGGUUGGAAAUCAUUCAUAGAGUGUAAAGGCAUAAGGGAGCUUGACUGCGAGACCUACAAGUCGAGCAGGGUCGAAAGAC